rnacentral:rRNA from 1 species
UUACGCUGUUAUCCCUAAGGUAAUUUAUUUUAUAAUACUAAAUUUUAGGAUUAAAAAUUCAUUAAUUAAUGUUUUAUUUAUUUAAAAGUUUAUUUUAUUAUAAAAUUACCCCAAUCAAAUAUUAAUUAUUAAUUUAUAUUAUUAUUAUUAUAACUUUAAUUUUCAUUAAUAUAAAAUUCUAUAGGGUCUUCUCGUCUUUUAAUUAUAUUUAAGAAUUUUAACUUAAAGUUUAAUUUUAAUUUAUUUUAUUUAUAUAGUUUAUAUCUCAUUUAAUCUUUCAUUCUAGAUUUUAAUUAAAAAACUAAUUAUUAUGCUACCUUUGUACAGUUAUUGAUACUGCAGCCAUUCAAAUUUUUCAUUGGGCAGAUUAGACUUAAAAUUAUUUACAAUAAGACAUGUUUUUGUUAAACAGGCG